GCACUGGUCCACGGUGACCCCAAGGAGGACAUGAUCCCCCUUGUCUGGGAGGACUGCAGGCAGGACAGUCCUCUUCCCGGGCUCACCGCAACAUUCAGUAGCUGCUUUGAAGGAACAGAAUAAGGUUGCCACAUGCCAGUCUGUCCUCCGAUCACUUCAGGGUUCCACUCACCGUGGGUUCAAGGCUUCUUUGAUUCUUUGUUUCCUUUAGUUUUCAUUCUCUCCUCUUCAGAACAAGAGUAGAUGGUUCGGUGUAUGCAAAUAUCACAGUUCCAGAAACCCACACCUGUGACUGAUGGGAGUGGUGGACAAAUACCCACAACUUCCUCUCUCUACUCUUGGCUGAGGACAAUUCUGAAGUGAGCCCUACACUGUCUCCCAGAUGCAGUCUGACCUGAGCCAUGAAGAAGUGCAGAGUCCCCAAGAGGCCAGAGAGCUCACGUCUGGUUAGAGUCGGGGUGUUUGAUGGGAAGAUGAAAGGAGGAGCUGGCAUCUGAGGAAAUCAACAUUCAAGGGGAGACCCAAUGAAGAAGAUAGUGCCAGAACUUAAUGGAGGCAGCCCAAGAGGAACGUGUACCUGGGGAAGUCAAGAGCUAUUUCUUGGACAUUUGUGCCUCUAUUCCAAACUCUUCUCUCAGAGUAGAUGACAACUCAGGAAGGAGCCAGAGAUCUUCCUCAGUUGACUUGUUCAGAAAUAUGAUUUGGGAUUCAGUCUGGCCCGAA
rnacentral:lncRNA from 1 species